AUGUCUGCUGUGAUCCAGUACAACAAUUCUUAUAAUAUUCAUCGUUUGAUGACUUCUUACUAUGUCUCCAUAGUCAGGACUAUAGCUGUUCACUCAACUGGAAUGGAGCUUAAUGGUGUAAAUUUAAUGGAUACUUCCAACUUGCCCACUACUGUGUCAGUGGAAAUGAUUCCACCCGACCCAGAACUAGAUCAACAGGAAGGUUUAUGUUCCGACCAAAGACCAUUUCACACGGAGAUACCCCAGUGGAUUCAUG